GCCAGGCCCACCUGUCUCCUAGGUGGUCUCAACCUGCCCUGUCGCUCCGCCACAAAGUAACAGUCAGGGGCCGUCGGGAACCCAGGCCCACCUCUACCGGGAUGGAGCCACCUGUCCUUUCAGCCCCCUCAUCAGAAUCACUUGCGGGUACUCCUCGAGCUGACCCGACUUUAGUCACCAUCUGUAUAGUAUGUAUGUAUGUAUAGUAUAUACCCGUGAUCACCUCCCAAGUGAUCACGGCCCGAUAGUAUAGCAAGGCAGACUGACAAGAAUGUAGGGCCAAUGAUGAUAAACUAGCAUCCUAUACUAAGCAUUUAGGAUUGCAGGUAAGGUAUCAACAGAUGUAGCAACAAUGUCAGGCUAUGCAUCAAAAUAGGAUCAACUGAAAGCAGUAACAUGCUACACUACUCUAAUGCAAGCAGUAUAGAGGAGAAUAGGCGAUAUCUGGUGAUCAAGGGGGGGGGCUUGCCUGGUUGCUCAGACAAGAAGGAGGGGUCGUCGGUGACGUAGUCGACCACAGGGGCAUCAGCAUCGUCACGGGGUCUACCGGAGAGAAGAUGGGGGAGAAACAGUAAAUACAUAGCAAGCAAGUGCAUAACAAGACAACAAGCAGAGCUAGACGUGUUCUAUCGCGGUAUGAGGUGAUACCGGUGAAGGGGGGAACAUCCGGGAAAGUAUCCCCGGUGUUCCGUGUUUUCGGACAGAUGAACCGAAGGUGAAAUGUUGCAGCUUCACUAUGCUAGGGACGCGUGGCAGAUGAAUGGGCUGCGUAUCUGGAUUCGUAUUGUCGUUCUGAGCAACUUUCAUGUACAAAGUUUUUCCAUCCGAGCUACGGUUUAUUUUAUAUUAAUUUUCAAAGUUUUAAAUCAUUUUCUAAAUAAUUAUUAUGAAAUUAAUUCAAAAUUAGUAUUAUUGCAUCAGCAUGACGUCAGCAUGACGUCAGCAGUCAACAGAGGGGUUGACUGGUCAAUCUGACACGUGGGUCCCACUGGUCAUAGACUCAGGUUAACUAAACCGAUUAAAUAGACUAACUAAAUGAUUAGGCUAAUUUAUUUUAAUUAGAUGAGUUAACCAGGAUUAAUUAACUUAAAUAAUUAAUUAUUGAUUUAUUUAUUCUAACAUUUUUUUAUUCUUUUUAUUCUCUUUUUUUUAUCGUUCUGGGGUAGGGCCCCCCUUGUCAUAGGCCCCAGGGGGCCUAUGGGCGCUGGGUGUGGGGUGGCCCGAACGAGCGCUACGGGCACCCGACCGCAGGCAGAGGCCAUUGGCCCGAUGCGGCUGGGCGCCGGCGUCCAAGGCGCCGGCCAAGGGAGGCAGCAGAGGUGGCCGCGGGGACAGCGGGGGCGGGCAGCUACAAAAGCAGCAGCCGCAGUGGUUGCAGCAGUAGUAGGCAGCCACGGCACGGGCACGCGCAGCCAGGGCGCUGGCGAGUACGGGGCUGCGGGAGCGGAAGUGCGAACGGGGAACGGCGUGGCCGGGCGUGGCCGCAAUCGACGGCGGCGAGCUUGCGGACGACACGUGCGGAGAGAGGAGGAGAGACCGGGCCUCACCGCGAUUCGUGGGGUCAAAGGCUGCGGGCUCGACGAAGGUCGGAGAGGUCCGACAAGGGAGAGGACGAGGUGGCGGCAGUCCGGCGACGAUGGGCAAAGAUGCGGUGGCGGCCAGCGAUGAUGAAGAUGGAGUCGAUCGCGAGCGCCGACGAUGACCCAGAGCAAUAUUGCACCGAGAAGAUGAGGACGAAGAAGGCGAGCUCUCCGGUGUAGUCCUAGGAGUCGGGGAGGCGACCGGCCACGGCUGCGUCAGGACGACGGUGAGCGCGGCGGCCGCGGUCUCGGGCGCGGCAGAUCUGAUGGGGCGAGCGAGGUGGAGAGGGGGAUGAGAGAGUGCGUGAGAAAUAUCUGCGGGUGGGGGGGUGCUCGGUGGCGACCUUAUCCUCCUGGCCAACGCCGACGAGGGGGUUGGGCGGCGACGAGCGUGUGCGGGCGCUUGAUCGGACGCGCCCGAGGAACAGUGAAGAGGGGCAAGGGGUUUGAGUGGGCCGGCUGGGCCGACUGGACCUGCCCAGCUACUUAGGCCCAGGUAGAGGGGGCUUUUGUCUUUUCUUUUCUUUUAAAACUUUUCUGUUUUCUUUUAUUUCAUAAAGCAAAAUAGUUUUAUAAAAUACUAAGCAUGCACCUAAACUAUAAUUAUAACUUAGGACACUGCUAUAAUUAACUUGGCACCAAACUAAAGUAGUUUAGUAUUUUUAUAAAGUAACAAGCAUUUAAAUAAUUGUUUUAGCCACUAUUUUAAAUAGUUUAGGUCAUUUAAAUACUUUUCAAAAAUGUUGGUUCACCACCAGCAUUAACAAAAGAAUAUUUGCCACAUGAUUAACAGUUUAGUUUUAACAUUUGAAAACUUUUAUUGUUUGCUUGAUUCUGAAUUUGAAUUCGAACCGAUUUCAAACUAACGCGAGAUUAGCAACAGUAAUCGAGGUGAUGUGGCAUCAUUAGCAGAGGUUUACUGUAGCUUGAUUAUCCAGGCGUCACAAUUCUCCUCCACUACAAGAAAUCUCGUCCAGAGAUUUAUGAGGGGAGCUAAGGGGGGAGGGAUUGGGUUACGAUAAUUCCAACGAGUGUUCUCGGUCUUGGUUGCUCUUCUCGAAGCGGUCGAUCCAUUAUGUUGAUGUCUUCAUUUCUCUGCUUCAGGCCAUCAUGAUGUAGUACACAUCCUUUCUUCGGGAUCUUCAUCGUACUUACGGAAAGGAUAAACGGUGGGCAUUCCGGGAGUACGGACCUCUACAAGGUCGACUAUCUGGUCGGUAACAUCGAGGAAGAUGGCGGAAGUAACUCUCGAAUUUAAACUUAAGAAAAUAUCGAGAGCAAGGUAAGGAGGUAUCAUGUGAAGUUUCAAGCGGGCAGACAAUCGUUUGUUUCUUGAAACAGGGCGUGAAAGGGCUCAAAGCAAUCAAGAAUAAGUAUUGCGUCCGGCAUCAGAUUUGAUGAUCCCUCGGAAGAUGGCUCGUGAAUUACAUACGAGGCCACACGCGAGGAGCAACCUUGGGAACAGGGGGUGCAGGAGAGUCAGGUUUCGAUCCUGUGGAACUGUGGGUUAUGGGCCCACCAUGUGGUUCAAAAGUAGGAAGGGGGCCGACAUCUUGCAGGUCAUGAUAGUAAGGCAUGUCAGAGGGUAGCCUAUCAGUUAUGUCGGCAACAACAUCGAUACCAAGGGCGAGGGACGAAGAGAACCAUUUUCCCUGCUCGUUGAACGAGGCGGGCCAAUAGGCAACGUUCUCGUCCAUCGGCGGCUACCGAAAUGUCAUCAACAAUAGUAACAGGGUCUUACUGACAAAGCGGUACCACGAGGUGUUUACAUAAGCAGGAGAAUAUUACUGCUUAGGUCAUAUAGAUCACAAGAAAGGUUAAACCAAACAAUGGAAAGGAAAAUAUGAUUAUCAGAUUAAACAGAACAAUGGAGAGGAAAAUGUGUUAAAACACAUAUUUCAGGGGUAUUUCCUUCCCAAGGUCAAACAGAGCAUGAUAUCCAUGACAGGAUAGAAAGUAGAAAACCAUUUAUGUAAGGGGAGAGGAAUUUCAUGACAUUACCCAUACAACGGUGUUUGGAUAAUUGAGCAGGAAACAUUUAGCAUUGGGCUUCAAAUGUUCUUGUUGAAAAUUGGAGUACCACAGACAUGCUUCGAGAUAGCGUUGACAUGGUCAUCAGGUGAAGAUCAGACUUUGGAAACACAAAGGAUCCAUCAGGAGCAACUUAUAAAAUAAGUCUUACAAUUUCCUCCAGGAAGAACGGUUAUCCUUGCAAAAGAAAUUAUAAUGAUAGGUCCUCCAGCCAGGGGGGUGCUAGGCAUGACAUCAUCUUACCAGGUCAUCUAAGAACCUUCAUCAUAACUCCUGGAAAGUUGUCCCAACCAUCAUAUCUGACCGAGAUUCAAAUCUGAUUGGUGUCAUGAUACCUCAGACUCAGGAUGUCCGAGAAGAAAAGGUGCAACACAAAUAGACGAAAUGACAUGCAAGAUUCUCGGGAAAUGAACUAUGGGAGCGAGUUCCUGAAACAGUAGUUCAUCAGUAAACCAAGGAGGGGAAGAAGGUGGCUGACGGGCUCAGCGACAAUUCAUCGAGAAUUCCAAACGGAUGGAUUUCCACAAUAAUGUGAACAAGAAGAUGACAGUUGUCAAUUCAAAUGAUAUAAUGUUGUAUGCUCUAGGAAAACAUACACCAUCAAUCAUUAGUUGAAAGGUGUGCCUGAAAUAUGACCUUAGGCAGCAAGAUCAAUGUUAGAGUGACGAUUCAAUAAUCAACGGUCCAAGAACGAACUGUCGAUCGUUAACUUCAAAGCAAUAGGGUUGCUAGAAGUACAGAACUCAAACAACAUCUAUUGGUUUGCUGGUUAAAAACAACACGAGGACCAAGGAAGAAUGGUGAUGGUGAGAAGUAUCAUCAUAUCGAGAAUUUCUAAGAGGUGGAGCAAUCCCCACAUCAUUCUCGACAUAAAAGACAGUAAUACUUCAAGGCAGAACACAACACUAGCUGGAGAGCAAGUUGUAUUCAGAAUGUGGACAAGUUCGCGAUAAAAGGAAGUCAAGAGUGUUGUCGAUGAUAAUAAAAUCAUCGAGGGCAAGGAGGGUAUUUCUCAUCAUGAACACAAUUGACAUCUAAUCAAAGGAAUGAUGAAGUGAAAUGUUAUUGGAACCAAGGGUACGACGCCAACUCGAAAUCAAGCUUGCUGUUCAAGGCAAAAUGAUAUGAUAAGGAAAGUUGAUGUAAGCUUAGCUCAACGCCGAAAAUUGUGCUUCGAGAUUAAGGACCAGGUAGCACAGUUAGAAUCAUCACGACAAUGAUAUAGUCAAACAUGCUAGGAAUGGCGUGAUCGGGUACAAACUCGUACUUAUAGAAGCUUACUGAAGAGUUGUUGAACCGUAGUGUGGACUCGGUUCAGUUAUUGGUGUCUUUGAGUGUUUAAAAACUCAGAGCCCGUGAAAAAUUGGAAUCAGUGGGAAUGUAGCACUUGAUGAAGAACUCAUAAGAGGUUACGCGGUUCCAUGAUAAUCUCAAGAUACCAGGGGGGUAAUACUCGAUGACAGAUCAAAGUAGAGGUUGGACUGGGCUAUUGCUCUACAGAAGACCAGUGCUUAAACUUGCACGAGAAAUGGUAUUUAAAAGAGAACAUGGUCGGAACCACGAUUGCAAAAGGCCAGAUCCCAGAUAUAAGAUGAACUUAUACCAAAGGGAUAAUUAAUUUAAGAGAAGCUUUAAUGAUAAGAUCUACAUCGUGUCCAUGGGCAUGAACACAAGUUCAAGGUCGACUCCCACUUCUCCAAUGCACAACCUUUCAUUCACUUCUCACUUUCGAGGAGGUUGUAGUGUUGAAAUUUUAUCUGGCAAAAUACCAGGAGUGUAUCGUGAAAACUUUCUAGUUCACACAUAUUAAGGAAGGCAUAUGUUCAAGCCAUCGGGGCUUCUUAGAACAUAUACCACGAACUUCAGGAGUAAUUAACACAAGCUCAAAGUAGAGCAUGGUUGACAAAGCAAAGUAUACAAUUGACCAAAGGCGGUAUAUAUCCUAGGAAAGGCUCAAGGUUAUUGAAUAUGAAGGAUAUUGUCGGAUAAAAUCCAACAAAGGAUCUGGGGUGAGUAUCGGCACACAACCAGAGGAAGAAGCAAGGCAAAGACAUUGGAUUAUAGAAACAACUAAAUAACUUAGAGCUCAAUUGCUAAGGAAUUAUGAUUUACAAAGUGAAGGAUCAGAAGCAGACGCUCUGAUCAAGGAUGGGUAAGUUCAAUAGACUUAGGGGCACAAUCGACGACAAUUUAGUUGGCGAGAACCGGCUCAUGAUUAAAACGACGUCUGAGCCGGAAGGAUGAAUUCUAGGAUCUGUUUGAGGAUUGCGAGCAUUCGCAACAAAUCGAAUCAACGGACUCAAAAUGACAAUGACAAUGGAUGUCAACAAGAUUACUAGACUUAUGGGAUUAACCAUAAUGCAAGCAAUCAAGAAUUUCAAGAGUAAUAGGAUGCUCAGGAUUUUCGGAAGAUCGAAUGAUAUUUCGAGGAUUGGUGACAUACAUGAAUCAAUUGGGGAUGAGUGGAUAAUCGGUAAUUGUGAGAAAUUAUCCGUAGGGGUAUUUAGGUGGUAAGGAACUGCAAGGCAGUAGGCAUAAGUAUUCUAAGAACAACAACGAAUAUUUCAGGGCAUCUUGUAAUAAAAAGAGUAACUGGGAACUAAGUAAGAACGGUGUAUGAAUUUAUUCAUAGGGAUAUUUCGGUGGUAGUGAAUUGCAAAAGCAAUGGGCAGUCCCGAAAGAGUAUCGGAAUUUAACUUUGAAAUCUUCAUGUGUAGUCGGCGAUCAUCUGGACUGAAGGGGCUCUCCGGGAGAAAGCGUUUUCGAGAACCUAAAGUUAGAUUUUAGAAAGUCAUUUAACCCGAAUAGAAGAGAGAUUAGAAUCCCAGAGUAUAGGCGAGAAAUAAAAGAUCCUACUACCACCCAAUGGCGACGUGUGCCGGUAAGACACACAGCCAUGUUAGUAAAAGUUUUUGCAACGUCUAGACUCGACUUCGGCCAAGGAGUUGGGAAGGGGGAUUCCUACAGGCAGUCGGCUCUGAUACCAACUUGUGACGCCCCCGAUUCAAUCGUACACUAAUCAUGCACGCAAACGUGUACGAUCAAGAUCAGGGACUCACGGGAAGAUAUCACAACACAACUCUAAAAACAUAAAUAAGUCAUACAAGCAUCAUAAUACAAGCCAGGGGCCUCGAGGGCUCGAAUACAAGUGCUCGAUCAUAGACGAGUCAGCGGAAGCAACAAUAUCUGAGUACAGACAUAAGUAAACAAGUCUGCCUUAAGAAGGCUAGCACAAACUGGGAUACAUAUCGAAAGAGGCGCAAGCCUCCUUCCUGGGAUCCUCCUAACUACUCCUGGUCAUCGUCAGCAGCCUGCACGUAGUAGUAGGCACCUCAAGUGUAGUAGUCGUCGUCGACGGUGGCGUCUGGUUCCUGGGCUCCAAAGUCUGGUUGCGGCAUCCGGGAAGAAGAGGAAAACGGGGAAAAGAGGGAGCAAAGCAACCGUGAGUACUCAUCCAAAGUACUCGCAAGCAAGGAGCUCCACUACAUAUGCAUGGGUACAUGUGUAAAGGGCCAUAUCAGUGGACUGAACUGCAGAAUGCCAGAAUAAGAGGGGGAUAGCUAAUCCUGUCGAAGACUACGCUUCUGGCAGCCUCCGUCUCGCAGCAUGUAGAAGAGAGUAGAUUGAAGUCCUCCAAGUGGCAUCUCCAAGUAGCAUCUCCAGUAGCAUCGCAUAGCAUAAUCCUACCCGGCGAUCCUCCCCUCUUCGCCCUGUGGAAAAGCAAUCACCGGGUUGUCUGUGGAACUUGUCUGGGUGUGUUUUAUUAAGUAUCCGAUUCUAGUUGUCAUAAGGUCAAGGUACAACUCCGGGUCGUCCUUUUACCGAGGGACACGGCUAUUUGAAUAGAUAAACUUCCCUGCAGGGGUGCACCACAUAACCCAACACGCUCGAUCCCAUUUGGCCGGACACACUUUCCUGGGUCAUGCCCGGCCUCGGAAGAUCAACACGUCGCAGCCCCACCUAGGCACAACAGAGAGGUCAACACGUCGGUCUAAAUCCUAUGCGCGCAGGGGUCUGGGCCCAUCGCCCAUUGCACACCUGCACAUUGCGUAUGCGGCCGGUGAGCAGACCUAGCAACCUCCAUUACAAAGGAAGUUGCGUUAAUGCAGUCCAACCCGGCGCGCGCCGCUCCGUCGCUGACGUCAAGAAGGCUUCGGCUGAUACCACGACGUCAGGAUACCCAUAACUACUCCCACGUAGAUGGUUAGUGCGUAUAGACCAAAUGGCCAGACUCAGAUCAAAUACCAAGAUCUCGUUAAGCGUGUUAAGUAUCCGCGAACGCCGAACAAUGCCAGGCCCACCUGUCUCCUAGGUGGUCUCAACCUGCCCUGUCGCUCCGCCACAAAGUAACAGUCGGGGGCCGUCGGGAACCCAGGCCCACCUCUACUGGGAUGGAGCCACCUGUCCUUUCAGCCCCCUCAUCAGAAUCACUUGCGGGUACUCCUCGAGCUGACCCGACUUUAGUCACCAUCUGUAUAGUAUGUAUGUAUGUAUAGUAUAUACCCGUGAUCACCUCCCAAGUGAUCACGGCCCGAUAGUAUAGCAAGGCAGACUGACAAGAAUGUAGGGCCAAUGAUGAUAAACUAGCAUCCUAUACUAAGCAUUUAGGAUUGCAGGUAAGGUAUCAACAGAUGUAGCAACAAUGUCAGGCUAUGCAUCAGAAUAGGAUCAACUGAAAGCAGUAACAUGCUACACUACUCUAAUGCAAGCAGUAUAGAGGAGAAUAGGCGAUAUCUGGUGAUCAAGGGGGGGGGUCUUGCCUGGUUGCUCAGACAAG
rnacentral:lncRNA from 1 species